ACCUGCGGGUCGCAGCUGAUCCAGCCAUGCCGCGUGUGUGAAGAAGGUCUUCGGAUUGUAAAGCACUUUAAGUUGGGAGGAAGAGCAGUUACCUAAUACGUGAUUGUUUUGACGUUACCGACAGAAUAAGCACCGGCUAACUCUGUGCCAGCAGCCGCGGUAAUAA
rnacentral:rRNA from 1 species